rnacentral:lncRNA from 1 species
AAUUUAAGAAUUUGGGCUUUUUAGCCUUUGCUCUUUCCCUCAAACUUUCCUGUCUCCUUAACUUCUGGCUUUGAUGUUGAUUACAUGCUUCAAGGUCUGCAAAUGGGACCAGUGGACGGGGCAGAGGAAUUUCAAAAUACAUACUCAGCUUCCACUUUCUGCUCAGAAUUAAUAUUUUCUACUUCAAGAGGAGUGCAGAAACCUGACUACAUAGAGUAUAGGUAUUUUUACCUUUCCUUUCUUUUAAAAAAUUUUAUUUAAAUUAGCCAACAUAUAGUACACACUUAGUUUCCAAUGUAGUGUUUAAUAAUUCGUCAGUUGCAUAUAACACCCAGUGCUCAUCAUAUCACCCUACCUUUCCCUUCUUUAUAUUGUAAUUAUGUAUAUGAUAUACAGUUAUAUAUAAUUUUAUUGUAUGUAAUUGCAUCUAUGUACUUUGUCUUUUUUUAAAUUUUUUUUAUUGGUGUUCAAUUUACCAACAUACAGAAUAACCCCCAGAGCCCGUCACCCAAUCACUCCCACCCCCCACCCUUCUACCCAAUCACUCCCACCCCUCCCCUUCUACCACCCCUAGUUCGUUUCCCAGAGUUAACAGUCUUUACGUUAUGUCUCCCUUUCUGAUAUUUCCCACACAUUUCUUCUCCCUUCCCUUAUAUUCCCUUUCACUAUUAUUUAUAUUCCCCACAUGAAUGAGAACAUAUAAUGUUUGUCCUUCUCCGACUGACUUACUUCACUCAGCAUAAUACCCUCCAGUUCCAUCCACAUUGAAGCAAAUGGUGGGUAUUUGUCAUUUCUAAUGGCUGAGGAAUAUUCCAUUGUAUACAUAAACCACAUCUUCUUUAUCCAUUCAUCUUUCGAUGGACACCGAGGCUCCUUCCACAGCUUGGCUAUUGUGGCCAUUGCUGCUAGAAACAUCGGGGUGCAGGUGUCCCGGCGUUUCAUUGCAUCUGUAUCUUUGGGGUAAAUCCCCAACAGUGCAAUUGCUGGGUCGUAGGGCAGGUCUAUUUUUAACUCUUUGAGGAACCUCCACACAGUUUUCCAGAGUGGCUGCACCAGUUCACAUUCCCACCAACAGUGUAAGAGGGUUCCCUUUUCUCCGCAUCCUCUCCAACAUUUGUGGUUUCCUGCCUUGUUAAUUUGCCCCAUUCUCACUGUUGUGAGGUGGUAUCUCAUUGUGGUUUUGAUUUGUACUUUGAAAACUGCAUCAGUGUUACAAUUUUUAUCUUCAUCAUCAUCCAUAUUUUUUGUAGCCAAUUAGAGAGGAACAGAAUAGUUUAUUAAAUUUACCUAGAUAGUUUCCAUUUCUUGUGCUUUCCUUCAUUCUUGAUGUCCUAAUCUUCCUUGCCAUAUCAUUUCCCUUCUGUCUAAAGAACUUCCUUUAGCAUUUCUUUCAGAGAAGUUUGUGUAGGAGUGAUGCCUCUUAGAACGUCUCUUCCACAUCCAUUUGUGAAGGACAUUUUUACUGGAUAGAGAAUUCUGGUUGACAGUUCUUGACUUGCAGAAAUUGAAGAUUAUUCUUCUUUUGGCAUCCAUGGUUUCUGAUGAGAAAUCCAUAGUGAUGUGAUUUGUUGCUCCCUUCUAUGUCAUAUGUCUUUUUCCCUUUGGGUGCCUUCAAGAGUUGUUUUUUAUUUUUUUUCUUUGUCUUUAGUUUUCAAGUCAUGUUAUGUGUGUGGACAUGAUUUUUCAAAAAUUUAUUAUGUUUAGUUUCUUGAGAACAGAAACAAAAAAAAUGUAAUCGCUAAUUUGCCUUAUGCUAUUAGAAACAAUCUGUAACCAAGAGUUUUAGGCAUCUGCCUGGUCUCUGCUGCUGCUGCAGUGUGGCAUGAUUGCCUGGUGGCUGGGACAGAAACUUUUUUUUUUUUUUUUUUAGAUCUAAUUUUUAUUUUAUUUUAUUUAUGAUAGGCACACAGUGAGAGAGAGAGAGGCAGAGACACAGGCAGAGGGAGAAGCAGGCUCCAUGCACCGGAAGCCCGACGUGGGAUUCGAUCCUGGGUCUCCAGGAUCACGCCCUGGGCCAAAGGCAGGUGCUAAACCGCUGCACCACCCAGGGAUCCCUGGGACAGAAACUUAACAAAGAUUAGGAACUUAUAUCACUGUCCAGCCCCCUUUCCUAAUCCUUGGUCCAGAAAGCUAGGUCUUCUCUUGAAGCUCUUUCUGUCCACAUUGAUGUACACUUCUGGGUCUGGAGCUGCCUAUGUGUCUAUCUGGGGUGAUCCCAGAGUUUGGGAAAAAGUGGGAAACUUUCCACUAGUUUCAUUAUACUACCCAUUCUGCUUUCUCCUAUUUUCUGGCUACCUUUCCUUCUGAGAUAAUUGCCCUCUGGUUCUGCCCAGGGCUAAAUUUGCAUCCCAUGAAGAGACAGGGUGGAGUGCGCUUACCCCAUCUUGCCUGGAAUGAUCCCAAUUGGUUUUAAAUGUUCUUUGUUGGCUUCUGACUACUUGACAAGCAUACAGAGAUUUGCACCCUUAAUCACUUAAAUUCCCUGAAUUUUGAUGAGUUUCAAAUUUUGGUGACUCAAGUUGUAGAAUUUUCUAUUUUCUUGCUGCUUUGGACACCUGCAAGUUCUGGAAAGAAUUCUAAGGGAAUGAGAGCUAAGAUUUAUUGAGUCAGUCCUUGGUGCAACAUUGUCACAUUUCAUCUUCAUCAUGGUUCCUUUUUUAUGGGUGUUAUUUCCUCAUUUAAGAGAAAAGGAAAAUUUGGCUAAGCAAAGUCACAUAGCUAGGUUAAAUAGCACAUCCAAACUCAGGUUUAUUUUGUUUCAUUCUGAACCCUAGUUCUUUCCAUCAUAUUAUGCUGAAGAUAGACUAAAUUUGUAUUUUUUUAAAUGUGGGUAUUGUUGGAAAAUAACAUAUAUUUUUAACCGAUUAAUAUUUGAAAAUGCAAUCAAUAUUUUGGUCUCCUAUUACCUGAAAAAGAUUCAUUCUCUUGCUCCAAGUAACUCAGGACCAACUGUCCACUGUGAUUCUUUUUUAAAACCUUUCUUAGGGGGACCUGGGUGGCUCAGUGGUUGAGCAUCUGCCUUUGGCUCAGGGCAUGAUCCCAGGGACCUGGGAUCUAGUCCCGCAUUGGGCUCCCCACAGGGAGCCUGCUUCUCCCUCUGCCUAUGUCUCUGCCUCUCUCAUGAAUAAAUAAAGAAAAUCUUUAAAAAAAUGAAAUAAAAAAUAAAAACUUUCUCAGGUGUUGUGAUUUCAUUAAUAACCACCUGAUCCUCUGGUAGACUCUUGGCCUGAAAAUUUCAGGCUUUCAUUUUAUCAAGAAAAAAAGCCAGUUACAUUUAACUUAGAGUGUUUAGCUUGGACAGAACAUUAGACUCAUAAAUACUAAUUUUUGAGAAGUCACUGGGGUCUGCACGGAUAAGUGGAUUGACCUUCAGCGAGUACGUAGCUGAGGAGCCGACUGGGCUGCCCUUUU